GAAAUGCGAUAAGUAAUGUGAAUUGCAGAAUUCAGUGAAUCAUCGAAUCUUUGAACGCACAUUGCGCCCGCCAGUAUUCUGGCGGGCAUGCCUGUUCGAGCGUCAUUUCAACCAUCAAGCCCCCGGCUUGUGUUGGGGACCUGCGGCUGCCCGCAGGCCCUGAAAAACAGUGGCGGGCUCGCUGUCACACCGAGCGUAGUAGCAUACAUUCUCGCUCAGGGCGUGCUGCGGGUUCCGGCCGUUAAACGACCUUCAUAACCCAAGGUUGACCUCGGAUCAGGUAGAAAUACCCGCUGAACUUAAGC
rnacentral:misc_RNA from 1 species